rnacentral:misc_RNA from 1 species
CCGAGCUCCUGCCCUCUGGGUAGAGACGCCACCCUUGUGUAUUAGACCGCUGUUGCUUUGGUGGGCUGUGCCCGCCAGAGACCCCAAACCCUGAGUGUGUGUGUCGUCGGAGUACUAUUCAAUAGUUA